CACGUAGGGGGCAAGCGUUGUCCGGAUUUAUUGGGCGUAAAGAGCUCGUAGGCGGCUCGGUAAGUCGGGUGUGAAACCUCCAGGCUCAACCUGGAGACGCCAUCCGAUACUGCUGUGGCUAGAGUCCGGUAGGGGAGCGUGGAAUUCCCGGUGUAGCGGUGAAAUGCGCAGAUAUCGGGAGGAACACCAGUGGCGAAGGCGGCGCUCUGGGCCGGAACUGACGCUGAGGAGCGAAAGCGUGGGGAGCGAACAGG
rnacentral:misc_RNA from 1 species